AACAGGUUCAAUCUUGAUUCUUUAACUACACCAGAUGGUUUUACUUUCAUUUUUUUCCCUUUGAAUUCUGUUGAUAUCUCAGUAUUUGUCAAAUGGGUUUUUUGUUUUUCUCAAUUGGGUUGUGCUCUUUUUCUUCUUUUGAGAUAAAAAUUGGGUCUUUAAUGUUUAGUCUUGGGUGUGAGUUUUAAAAAUUGAAUCUUUGAUGCUUUAGUUUUCCUAAUUAGUUGAUUAUGACUUAAAUUGGUUUUUGACAA
rnacentral:misc_RNA from 1 species